rnacentral:lncRNA from 13 species
GUAACAAUUUUCGUACGCAGUCCGCAGUCCAGUAUGACAGGUUUUCUAACCUCUAUACUAUAGUCGUUAAGUUUAGUGCUGUUUAGUGCUUGAUAUCUCGUUUUGCGGGGUAGAGUGAGCAACACUUUUUUUCUAUCAGAUUCGUUCGUUUUGUGCGAAAAUGCGUUGAAUGACCCUAAUUGGAUCAAAAUUGGUGGUAGGGGUAUUUUGGAUAAUCACCUUUAUCACAAAUUAUAUAUUAUAGGGCCAUGAAAAUAUUUAUGUAAUGAAUAACACAAAUGAAAAUACAGAAGAUUUAGAUAAUGUAUCUCCAUCAAAACAAGCUAAAAAUACGUCUUUCCAGUUUUCAUACAUACAGUAAGAAUAAAAGAAAAAAAUUGUCGCUCACAAGCAGGAAAAAAGUGAUGAAGUGUAAAAGACCAACAUUUGUGAGGUUAGGAAAUCUGUCACUGACAGCAUAGAGGGACCAAGAGGGACAUUGAGAACGUGUAAGUUUGUGACUUUCCGCUCGGAGCAAGCCCCCCCCCCCCCACCGCCACGGAAACACAACAUGGUCUACAGAUUGUUCUACGUAUUGUUCAUCUUGUGUUUUUAAUUCUCAACUUCAAAAACACAAAAAUGUUAAAGUGAAGCAGGCAAGAUGUCUACAGCAAAAUAAAUUUUUAUUUUAAUUUACAUGAUACAGGGGACUUUUCACGCGGAGCGAGGUCCAUCCCCAUCCUUCUUUUUCCACCUCUGUCCUCCCCUUCCCCACCCCUGUGCUUUAGAUUCUUACUGUACGUAUGAAACUAAACAAAAUACUAAAA